AUGCUCACUUUGGUAGUACUUAUACUAAAAUUGGAAUGAUACAAAGAAGAUUAGUAUUGCCCCUGCACAAGGAUGACACACAAAUUAGUGAAGUUAAUUUGUUUUUC